GGAUGCGAUCAUACCAGGCACUAAUGCACCGGAUCCCAUCAGAACUCCGAAGUUAAGCGUGCUUGGCGAGAGUAGUACUAGGAUGGUGACCCCCUGGAAGUCCUCGUUGGCAUCCC
rnacentral:rRNA from 1 species